UACGAAGGGGGCUAGCGUUGCUCGGAAUCACUGGGCGUAAAGCGCACGUAGGCGGAUCUUUAAGUCAGGGGUGAAAUCCCGAGGCUCAACCUCGGAACUGCCCUUGAUACUGGGGAUCUCGAGUCCGGAAGAGGUUGGUGGAACUCCGAGUGUAGAGGUGAAAUUCGUUAGAUAUUAGGAAGAACACCAGUGGCGAAGGCGGCUCACUGGCCCGGUACUGACGCUG
rnacentral:rRNA from 1 species